GAAGGAAUGGCGAAAAACAGUGGUUUUCAAAAUUAAGUCAUAUAAAGUAGCAACAUAACAAAGUUAGGAUCCAUUUAUCAAUCUAAAAUAAAAACACUAAAUCGCCAGUUUAAAUUUGUCGAGAGGGGAAGUUGCACCAAUUUGUUGUAGGAACUCUUCCAAAGUAUUCGAAAGCAGCUUUCCCACGUUUGGCCCCCAUAAAACUGUUAGCUGAUUUAAUUGCCAGGGAAUCGAAACUUUCUUUUGGCGCUCUGACCUCGAUUCACUCCGAUCAUCGUCCAUCAUCGACCAUUCCGCCCCCAUGGGUCCGGUCAAAGGGCAACCCACGCAUAAUUAGCAGCUGGCAUUGGGGCCACAGUUGGCCAGUUAGUCCAGUUGGCCAGUUUGUUCAGUUUGCCCAGUUGUUCAGUUGUCCAGUUGGCCAGUUUGCCAGUUCGGCAUCAUUAGCAGCCACAAACGGGGGUCAGCUAUUAUUAUGGCAUCAAUUUGUGGGCCGAAGGCAGCGGAGUAGAAAAAAUUAAAUGCAACUUUCCCCAGCGACUUGCGGCAACAAUCUAAUAACAACAUUUUGGCACAUGUGGGCCGAGUCGCUCCGUUCGUCGUAAUUACACGACACUUGACGCCAAGCAAUUUGUUAGCAAAAACUGUCGCAACAAUAAAAACUACCAGGAGCCAGCGAGUCAACAAGGACGCCGAAUUAAAUAAAACUUAAUGACAGCGCACAAGGAAAAGAAAGGAAAAGGAAAGAAAAGAAAAGACAAUAGAAUGUCCCAAACUAAGGCAGCAACUCCCCAAGAGCCAGGAGCUCAACUGCGGACCCCCGGGCAACCAGUGGAGGCCAUAACCGGGGGCCACUUUCCCCUCGCCAGGAGUCAAAUAAGUUGACAACCCAGCCGAGUCCCGAGUACCGAGUCCCGAGACCCCAGGACUAAGAUACUCUGAGACUUCAAGACCCGGCUGUCAACAGACAGACCCCCAGUCGCGUCAAAGGCAAACCCACCGGCUAUCGUGGCCAAAGAGAAAUGGGAAUCACUAUCAGCGCGAUGGGAGCUUUGAUUACAUGAUUAAUUUCAUUUACUAGGGACAACUCCGGCGGGCAUUGCAUUCAUUUAACUCUUGCUCACCGGGCUCCUUUUGCAGCGGAACACUACUUAGGUCCCUAUACCGAAACUUAAUGAAUAUAUCUUAAAUUUAUGUAUUGAAACUGACUAUUACAGAUAAGAUUAUUAUAUAGAAAAGAAAGAAACGAGAGCGGAAGUGCUAACGAGAAA